GACGAACGCUGGCGGCGUGCUUAACACAUGCAAGUCGAACGGAAAGGCCCUGCUUUUGUGGGGUGCUCGAGUGGCGAACGGGUGAGUAACACGUGAGUAACCUGCCCUUGACUUUGGGAUAACUUCAGGAAACUGGGGCUAAUACCGGAUAGGAGCUCCUGCUGCAUGGUGGGGGCUGGAAAGUUUCGGCGGUGUGGGAUGGACUCGCGGCUUAUCAGCCUGUUGGUGGGGUAGUGUCUUACCAAGGCUUUGACGGGUAGCCGGCCUGAGAGGGUGACCGGCCACAUUGGGACUGAGAUGCGGCCCAGACUCCUACGGGAGGCAGCAGUGGGGAAUAUUGCACAAUGGGCGGAGGCCUGAUGCAGCAACGCCGCGUGCGGGAUGACGGCCUUCGGGUUGUAAACCGCUUUCGCCUGUGACGAAGCGUGAGUGACGGUAAUGGGUAAAGAAGCACCGGCUAACUACGUG
rnacentral:rRNA from 1 species